rnacentral:rRNA from 1 species
UACGAAGGGGGCUAGCGUUGUUCGGAAUUACUGGGCGUAAAGGGCGCGUAGGCGGUGUGUCAAGUCAGGCGUGAAAGCCCCGGGCUCAACCUGGGAACAGCGCUUGAGACUGGCACGCUCGAGUUCGGGAGAGGAUGGUGGAAUUCCCAGUGUAGAGGUGAAAUGCGCAGAUAUCAGGAGGAACACCGGUGGCGAAGGCGGGUCUCUGGGCCGUAACUGACGCUGAGGAGCGAAAGCGUGGGGAGCGAACAGG